ensembl:snRNA U6 U6 spliceosomal RNA
AUGCUUACUUCAGCAGCACAUAUUCUAACAUUGGAACAAUACAGAGAAGAUUAGUAUGGUCCCUGUUCAAGGAUGACAUGCAAGUUCAUGAAGUCUUCCAUAUUUUU